UACGUAGGGUGCAAGCGUUGUCCGGAUUUACUGGGCGUAAAGAGCGCGCAGGCGGUCGUUCAAGUCGAGUGUGAAAGCCCCCGGCUCAACUGGGGAGGGUCACUCGAUACUGAUCGACUUGAAGGCAGGAGAGGGAAGUGGAAUUCCCGGUGUAGUGGUGAAAUGCGUAGAUAUCGGGAGGAACACCAGUGGCGAAGGCGACUUCCUGGCCUGUUCUUGACGCUGAGGCGCGAAAGCUAGGGGAGCAAACGGG
rnacentral:rRNA from 1 species